rnacentral:rRNA from 2 species
ACGGAGGAUCCGAGCGUUAUCCGGAUUUAUUGGGUUUAAAGGGAGCGUAGGCGGACGCUUAAGUCAGUUGUGAAAGUUUGCGGCUCAACCGUAAAAUUGCAGUUGAUACUGGGUGUCUUGAGUACAGUAGAGGCAGGCGGAAUUCGUGGUGUAGCGGUGAAAUGCUUAGAUAUCACGAAGAACUCCGAUUGCGAAGGCAGCUUGCUGGACUGUAACUGACGCUGAUGCUCGAAAGUGUGGGUAUCAAACAG